GUAGGUGGCAAGCGUUGACCGGAAUUAUUGGGCGUAAAGCGCGCGCAGGUGGGUUCUUUAAGUCUGAUGUGAAAGCCCCCGGGCUCAACCGGGGAGGGUCAUUGGAAACUGGGGAACUUGAGUGCAGGAGAGGAAGGUGGAAUUCCACGUGUAGCGGUGAAAUGCGUAGAUAUGUGGAGGAACACCAGUGGCGAAGGCGACUUUCUGGCCUGUAACUGACACUGAGGCGCGAAAGCGUGGGGAGCAAACAGGAUUAGAUACCCUGGUAGUCCACGCCGUAAACGAUGAGUGCUAAGUGUUGGGGGGUUUCCGCCCCUCAGUGCUGCAGCUAACGCAUUAAGCACUCCGCCUGGGGAGUACGGCCGCAAGACUG
rnacentral:rRNA from 1 species